rnacentral:rRNA from 1 species
AGAGUUUGAUCAUGGCUCAGAGUGAACGCUGGCGGCAGGCCUAAUACAUGCAAGUCGAACGGCAGCACAGCAGAGCUUGCUCUGUGGGUGGCGAGUGGCGGACGGGUGAGGGAAUACGUGGGAAUCUGCCCAGUCGUGGGGGAUAACGUAGGGAAACUUACGCUAAUACCGCAUGCGCCCUUCGGGGGAAAGCCGGGGACCUUCGGGCCUGGCGCGAUUGGAUGAGCCCACGUCGGAUUAGCUAGUUGGCGGGGUAAAGGCCCACCAAGGCGACGAUCCGUAGCUGGUCUGAGAGGAUGAUCAGCCACACUGGAACUGAGACACGGUCCAGACUCCUACGGGAGGCAGCAGUAGGGAAUAUUGGACAAUGGGCGCAAGCCUGAUCCAGCCAUGCCGCGUGAGUGAAGAAGGCCCUCGGGUUGUAAAGCUCUUUUGUCCGGAAAGAAAAGCGCCGGGUUAAUACCCUGGUGUCCUGACGGUACCGGAAGAAUAAGCACCGGCUAACUUCGUG